GAUCAGGCCCACGCCCCUGGCCCCAAACCCCGUGGCCCCACCUGGAGGAUGAGGAGAUGCUGGGCUUGGAUUGGGGAAUCGGGUGUAAAGGGACCU
rnacentral:miRNA from 1 species